CCUACGGGAGGCAGCAGGGGGGGAUAUUGCACAAUGGGGGGAACCCUGAUGCAGCGACGCCGCGGGGGGGAAGGAGGGUUUGGGCGCGUAAAGCCCUAUCGGCAGGGAAGAAGGAGGACGGUACCUGACCAAGAAGCCCCGGCUAACUACGGGCCAGCAGCCGCGGUAAGACGGCGGGGGCAAGCGUUAUCCGGAUUUACUGGGUGUAAAGGGGGCGCAGAUGGCAGCGAAAGCCAGGCGUGAAAGCCCGGGGCCCAACCCCGGGACUGCUCUUGGAACUGCGCGGCGGGAGUGCAGGAGGGGCAGGCGGAAUUCCUGGUGUAGCGGUGAAAUGCGUAGAUAUCAGGAGGAACACCGGUGGCGAAGGCGGCCUGCUGGACUGCGACUGACGUUGAGGCCCGAAAGCGUGGGGAGCAAACAGGAUUAGAUACCCUUGUAGUC
rnacentral:rRNA from 1 species